AGCAGGAUCAUUCUUGGAAGGAAUACAUCAACCUAUUUCUUUCGAAUUAACUAUGAUGUCUGAAUGCCUACGGGCUUCGGGAAUCCUCCUAAGACAGCGGCAGUGUGUAUACUGUUAGCUUGGUCUCCUUCUCACCGGUUCUGUGUCUCAGCCUCGGCUUUGAGUAUCAGGCUGGUGGGCGGUUGGGUAACAUAGAGUGUGGAGGAUGUUGCUCUCCAACCGUUCGAAACAACGCUCAACGAUGGAUAUCUCGGCUUGGUGAUCGAUGAAGGACGCAGCAAAGUGCGACAAGUGUCAUGACUUGCAGAUACCCGAGAGCUGACAAAUUUCUGAAUGCAAAUUGCAGCCAAGUUAAUCUGGCUAUGUAUUGCAGAGAGUACUUCGCGUAUGCGCUCCAUCCAGAGAUGCUUGCUCAUCCUGGGACGUGCACCGUCUAUCUUGGUUCGCCGAGAGACCACGGACUGUCAAAGAUAGAAAACUUCGUGUUUUCCCGGAUUUAUAUUGAGAAAAGACUUAAUCUUCUCUUCUCAACAUUUACCUCUGCAAUGCAGGAGAACCCGCUGAACUUAAGCAUAUCAUUGAGCGGAGGACAAGAAAACAACUGUGAUUCCCUGAGUAACUGCGAGUGAAUAGGGAAAAGCCUAUGCUUGAAUCCGGUGUGGAUGGAAUCGGAAACACUGGAAUUGUAGUGCAAGGGUUUUGAGCGAGGCGAACCAGUCGGAAGAAUCGCUCAGGAAUGAGCAACCAAUGAGGGCUAUCGUCCCGUAUCCUCCGACGCGGUCGUCUCACAUGCUCUUCUCCCCAAGAGUCGGGCAGUUUGAGAAUGCUGUCCAAAACCGCAGGUGUACUCCUGCGAAGGCUAAAUAUUUCACCAAGACCGAUAGUGAACAAGUAGUGUGAACGAAAGAUGAAAAGUACUUUGAAAAGAGAGUGAAAAGUCCUUGACAUUGUUGGGCGCAAAGGGUAUGAGACCCAUUGUAUGCUUCUGCUUUUUAGCGAGAGCUGUCAAUGCGAGUUUCUGGCUUCUGCAGGUUGCGCUCUGCUUCCCCGCUUCGGCGUGUGAGAGACGCAGCUGUUGCAGAAAGUCGGCGACUUGGCAGAGUCUUUGAGCAGACAGCAUCUGAUUUUGGCUGUGUUUGCGGUGUCGAAGCAUCUUCUUUCGUGGAGGGUCUUCACAUUGCACCCAUUGUCACCAGGUGUUGUCGAGCUUAAGAGCCGUUGACCUUUAAUGGUCUCUUACCACCCGUCUUGAAACACGGACCAAGGAGUCUACCGAAUGUGCGAGUGUUAUGGUGAUUGAAACCAAACGACGCACAAUGAAAGUGAUGCCUGUGAACCGCAACGGAGAUCGUUGUUGGUGCAACAGGGCUCGGUCCUUAUCAGAAGAAAGGGAUCUGAAGUUGAGCACAUUCGCUGGGACCCGAAAGAUAGCGAGCUUUUCCUGGGCCGAAGGAAGCCAGGGGAAACCUUGGUGGACGUUCGAAUGCAGUGCUGACGUGCAAAUCGCUUGUCAGAUCUGGGUAAAGGGGCGAAAGACUCAUCGAGCUAUCUAGUAGCUGGUUCCCUC
rnacentral:misc_RNA from 1 species